GCUGGGCACAGUAGCGCAUGCCUGUAAUCCCAGCAUCUGAGGAGGCUGAGGCAGGAGGAUCACAAAUUCAAAGCCAGCCUCAGCAACAGGGAGGUGCUUAGCAACUCAGUGAGCCCCUGUCUCUA
rnacentral:sRNA from 1 species